AGCGAACGCUGGCGGCAGGCUUAACACAUGCAAGUCGAACGGGCACUUCGGUGCUAGUGGCAGACGGGUGAGUAACGCGUGGGAACGUGCCUUUCGGUUCGGAAUAAUCCAGGGAAACUUGGACUAAUACCGGAUACGCCCUUCGGGGGAAAGAUUUAUCGCCGAAAGAUCGGCCCGCGUCUGAUUAGCUAGUUGGUGAGGUAAAGGCUCACCAAGGCGACGAUCAGUAGCUGGUCUGAGAGGAUGAUCAGCCACACUGGGACUGAGACACGGCCCAGACUCCUACGGGAGGCAGCAGUGGGGAAUAUUGGACAAUGGGCGAAAGCCUGAUCCAGCCAUGCCGCGUGAGUGAUGAAGGCCUUAGGGUUGUAAAGCUCUUUUGUCCGGGAAGAUAAUGACUGUACCGGAAGAAUAAGCCCGGCUAACUUCGUGCCAGCAGCCGCGGUAA
rnacentral:rRNA from 1 species